ACGUGUGGUACUGGAUGGUCCCUUCUGGCCACAUGCUGUGGGCACAGUGGAGAGAUGGAAAUGAGACUCCUGCUGCUCUUCAGGAAGACACGAAGAUACAUCCUCAUAGGAGUCAGAAUUCCCGGCUGCCACAGUGAAAAGAAACUCUUCCUUAUGACAGGCCUGCUGUCUUUCCUUGGAUGGGACUGGAUUAACUUGGAGAAGGAAUGCGGUAAUGAAGCAGAAGAAUUUUCCAGCAAAGCUUCAGCAGAUUCAAGACCUGGUUUGGGUGGUUCACUGAGGAUAGGAUCAAUGGUACCUUUACCUAAUCUCAGUACAAGCACCUUGGGGACUUCCUUGCUUGCUUGUUUUAGUUGAGGAAGUCAAGGAAGCUUGAACCCUAUACAACUGAGGUGAUUUGCCCAAAAUCUCACUGUGUAGCCUCCCACAUUUUCUGACUUGGCGCAACUGUUGUCAUCUAAGUGGGGCCUUCAGUGUUUUAGCUCAAAAACUGGCUGGACAGCAGCAACAUUUUUCUCAGGCGAUGCUAGAGCUGGCCCUAUUCUGUCUCCAUGGGAGGGUCCCAGCCAGAGGGAUCUGUCUCACCUGGUUUUCAAACAGGUCACUUGAAAAUUUCAGCUGGGCAUCUGGGACCUGCUUCCUCACGCCCAACUCUUCCGUCAGGGUAUAGCUCACAGGGCGUCUGGCUCCUAGACAAGGCCUGGGUGCGGCCUCUAACUGGCCACAGUCAUCUCCCUUUCAAGACUCACCAGGAGAAGGGACCCUGGGGGCUGGCUGGAACCUCUGGGGCUGGUAUGGUCAGGCUGGCACCCUCAGUGGUUGAGGAGGCUUCUGGGACAUGGGGACUCGGUGACAAGCUACUUAGCUGUCUCAUUCGCAAGAGAAUGAGAGCCUCAGGGAGCUGGGAGCUGCUGGGAUCACCUCCAGUAGGGUAGCUGGGCAGACAAGAAUGCAGCUUGUGCCUUCCUUGGAAUAUUCUGGGAAAUGCUGCUUUAAUCUGCACGAGAGAAAUGCCUCUUUGGCCUAAUGCAGACAGCAGGCUGGAAAGAGGAUUUUAUCAAAGGUGAGCGUGGAAGAGUCUCACCCCAGAAGAGUCCAGCGCUGUGAGCCAGAGGAAGAGCGCAGAAUGAGAGACACCUGCACGGAAGAGGAAGUAAGGCCCCGAGGGGACUGAGAACCCCAAAGCUGCACCCAGGAGUCUUCCCCAUGCAAAAUGACUGGGUUUGGUUCUUUUGUAGAGACUCAAAGGACUAUCAACCUGUGAAACCAGUUUUGAUGGCUUCUGGGGUUUUUUUGGUUUUGUUUUGGAGUCACACCCAUUGGUCCUGGGGUGGGUGGGGGCUGUUCCAGGCUCGUUGCUGGGGGAGUCCGGCUGUGCCAGGGAGUGAACCACGGCUUCCAGCAUGCAAAGCCAGCAGCCCUUUGAGCUAUUCCUCCCGGGCGCCAAGCUUCUGGGUUCUUUUGUUUAGCCCAGGGUUUACCCUGGGCUCUGUGCUCAGGGGCCACUCCUGGCAGGCUCAGGGGACCAUAUUGGGUGCUGGGGAUUGAAUCUGGGUUGGUCCUGUGCAAAGGGCCCUACCUGCUGUACUGUCUCUCUGACCCCCACUUCUGGGUGCUUUAGACCUCUCUUCAGGGACCUGCAAACUAAGACCCCCUGGGCCAAAUCUGGCCCACUGAUUGUUUUUGUAAAUAAACUUUUGCUGGAAGUUAACUGCUCCUUUA